UACGUAGGAUGCAAGCGUUGUCCGGAAUUAUUGGGCGUAAAGAGCGCGCAGGCGGUCUAUCAAGUCAGAUGUGAAAUAUCCCGGCUUAACCGGGAGGGGUCAUCUGAAACUGGUAGACUAGAGUACAGCAGAGGAUAGUGGAAUUCCCGGUGUAGUGGUGAAAUGCGUAGAUAUCGGGAGGAACACCAGUGGCGAAGGCGACUAUCUGGGCUGAAACUGACGCUGAGGCGCGAAGGCUAGGGGAGCAAACAGG
rnacentral:rRNA from 1 species